rnacentral:rRNA from 1 species
UACGGAGGGGGCUAGCGUUGUUCGGAAUUACUGGGCGUAAAGCGCACGUAGGCGGCUUUGUAAGUUAGAGGUGAAAGCCCGGAGCUCAACUCCGGAACUGCCUUUAAGACUGCAUCGCUUGAACGUCGGAGAGGUAAGUGGAAUUCCGGAGUGUAGGAGGUGAAAUUCGUAGAUGAUUCGGAAGAACGCCACGUAGGGCGGAAGGC